rnacentral:rRNA from 1 species
CCUACGGGGUGCACCAGUAGGGAAUCUUCGGCAAUGGACGAAAGUCUGACCGAACAACGCCGCGUGAGUGAAGAAGGUUUUCGGAUCGUAAAACUCUGUUGUUAGAGAAGAACAAGUAGGAGAGUAACUGCUCUUACCUUGACGGUAUCUAACCAGAAAGCCACGGCUAACUACGUGCCAGCAGCCGCGGCAAUACGUAGGUGGCAAGCGUUGUCCGGAUUUAUUGGGCGUAAAGCGAGCGCAGGCGGUCUUUUAAGUCUGAUGUGAAAGCCCUCGGCUCAACCGAGGAAGGUCAUUGGAAACUGGAGGACUUGAGUGCAGAAGAGGAGAGUGGAACUCCACGUGUAGCGGUGAAAUGCGUAGAGAUGUGGAGGAACACCAGUGGCGAAGGCGGCUCUCUGGUCUGUAACUGACGCUGAGGCGCGAAAGCGUGGGGAGCGAACAGGAUUAGAUACCCUAGUAGUC